AAUCAACGCUGGCGGCGUGCCUAACACAUGCAAGUCGCACGAGAAAGGGCAGCAAUGCCUGAGUACAGUGGCGCACGGGUGAGUAACACGUGAAUGAUCUACCUCCGAGUGGGGAAUAACUGAGAGAAAUCUUAGCUAAUACCGCAUAACACUUACGAGUCAAAGCAGCAAUGCGCUUGGAGAGGAGUUCGCGGCAGAUUAGUUAGUGGCGGGGUAAUGGCCCACCAAGACGAUGAUCUGUAUCCGGCCUGAGAGGGCGCACGGACACACUGGAACUGAAACACGGUCCAGACUCCUACGGAGGCAGCAGUGGGGAAUUUUGCGCAAGUGGGGGAAACCCUGACGCAGCAACGCCGCGUGGAGGAUGAAAUCCCUUGGGAUGUAAACUCCUUUCGAUCGGGAAGAUAAUGACGGUACCGAGAGAAGAA
rnacentral:rRNA from 1 species